GCAACGAGCGCAACCCUCGACCUUAGUUGCCAGCAUUCAGUUGGGCACUCUAAGGUGACUGCGGCUAAAAGUCGGAGGAAGGUGGGGAUGACGUCAAAUCAUCAUGCCCCUUAUGACCUGGGCUACACACGUGCUACAAUGGGCGGUACAAAGGGUCGCGAACCCGCGAGGGGGAGCCAAUCCCAAAAGGCCGCUCUCAGUUCGGAUUGCAGGCUGCAACUCGCCUGCAUGAAGCCGGAAUCGCUAGUAAUCGCGGAUCAGCAUGCCGCGGUCCGAAUACGUUCCGGGCCUU
rnacentral:rRNA from 1 species